rnacentral:rRNA from 1 species
CUCGGCAACGGAUAUCUCGGCUCUCGCAUCGAUGAAGAACGUAGCGAAAUGCGAUACUUGGUGUGAAUUGCAGAAUCCCGUGAACCAUCGAGUCUUUGAACGCAAGUUGCGCCCGAAGCCAUUAGGCUGAGGGCACGUCUGCCUGGGCAUCACGC